GUAGAUUUUUCCCAACAGCACCAGAUAAAAUGUCAGCCAGCUCCACAGUGCUGUGCUCAGCUACUAAAUCAGUGCAGCAGUACUGACAGAGAAGGAAUUAAAAUUGUCUGUGUGGUGGUUUUGUGCGGUUCACUUCAGGAUAUAUUUGUAAGCAACACAGCAAGCUUGAAUGCCAGCGGGUGGAAGAAACCCCACAAACCCACCUUCCUUUCAGGAGGGGUAGUUUGCUGUCAACACCUUCACCCCCCAACUUCCAGAGGUGAUAAAAGUUCAAAAAUCCCUCCAGAGGAGAGGGGGCUGCAGGGAGAAAUGCAGUUGUCACCAGCUCUCUCAGCAAAGCACAAUAAACAGUCUCAUGACAUCAUAAAAACCGUGACAAAAUCCAUUUACAGUGGCGUGUCCACAAACUGCCGCUCAGCCUUCCUGGGAAGUACUUUAUGGCUGCGGUGGAUUGACUGGUCUUUCAGGCCACCUGCACUAUACAGACUUGCUUAUGAUUAUGGGCUAAACUAAUGAUCCAGGAAGGAAUUAUCUGAAAAUGUCUCCCUGGUACUGAGUGAGCAAACGAGAGAAGAUGACCCUGUGUCUGGGAGACUGCUCUGGCAAGGGGGGAAGAGAGUCCAAGGCAUGGAUGGUGGGAAAGGAUUAAAGAAAAAAAUAAAUAAAAUAAAAUAGAGUGUGUGUAGGGACA
rnacentral:lncRNA from 1 species